AAUAAGUCUAUUUUUCAGUUUUUAGAUGAAUGUUUUGAUUCUUCAUCUUAUUUAAAUUUUUUGUGAUUAGUAUUUUCAUUGUUACUAGACGAUAAAACAUGAAUAGUAUUUUAUGCGUGAACAAUUUUUUUUAAGUUUUUUACAAAUUUUUCAAAUAAGACAAAUGGUCAAACGUCAGACACAGAAAACGUUAGACAUAGA
rnacentral:pre_miRNA from 1 species